UACAAAAAUAUCUUCCUUAAGAUGUCAUUUUUGUUCUCUUUAAAUAUUUUGGGCAAUUGCCAUAUUUCUUAGAAUGAGACAGAAUUGAAACAAAAAAUAAGAAACCUUAGCUGCACAUAAAACCCGGAACGUUUAAACGUCAAGAACUCGCAUUACUGAGGUGGUCAUUAAAAAUGUUUUCAUGGACAGUACGACAGUUUACAUGCUUAUAAGGUUUUAUAGGUAUGGCUUCACUGGAAAUGCAUCAUCAGCAAACAAAGUAACAUGUGACCAGUUUGGAAAAAUACCGCCGUCUGAUUCAGAUCCAACAUUAAUAUAUCUAAAACAAUAAUUGGAGUUAACAACAUUUGUGGUUGAAGUGUUUAUAGUGGUGGAGAAACAGUAAAAAUAUGUUUGUCAUUAACAGCACCACAGCAGUUAGGGGAAUUCCAGUAAUUUUCGAAAUCAACACAUUAUUUCUUCCAUUCUUUUUCUGUGCAUGAAAAAGGAAAAAAAAGUUAGUAUUUGUUUUUGUUACAGUUUCCACAUCGAGAAGACAGUAACGAUGAUGAAGUGAUACAACCUCCAUCAAAUCCAAAUCGAUCACAACCGACAGAAUCAAGUUUACAAAAAUUACAAGAUAGCCGUUAAAGAACUCAAAAUACUCCAAAGGACAAAAUAUAGAACAGCUACGUGAAAUAGUUACAAAACUUUGUAAUAUCUACGCAAAUCUAAGUAUGGAUGCUUCAGAAUCAGAACACAGUGAUUACACAAAAAUUACAAGAUAGCUGUUAAAGAAAUCAAAAUACUCCAAAGGACAAAAUAUAGAACAGCUACGUGAAAUAGUUACAAAACUUUAUAAUAUCUACGCAAAUCUAAGUAUGGAUGCUUCAGAAUCAGAACUUUUGGUGCAUGUAGGUGUGACAUUAAAUAAAUUACUAUUGCAACAGUCCAUCACAGCACAAUGUUGAAGGCGUUACAAGACAUGGUGUUCCCAAACGGCUUCUUCACCUCAUUUUUCUACGUCAUCUUUAGCACAAUCUGUGUGCACAAGUCCGUCAUAAAACGUACACUAUUUAUUAAGGCUAAACGACGAUGGCCAGGGUUCACUCUCAACAUUUCAGGUUUUUCACUGUUUACUAUUAGGGGAGGCCGGGGAUAUAAUGGAUAGCUUAAUAUUUCGCGCACUAUUGCAGUUAAACAUUUCAAAUUUACACAAAAAAUGGCUCUAGUGACAUGCUUUAUAGUGUACAUUCACACGUGUAUAAAGUUCAUUCGCGGAUUCAGUCGUUAAUUAUGUGUUGUAGCUGUUUCAUCGGCUUUAUUUGGGUAAGUUACUAUAUUGAUGACCCUUGUAUUCCAUAUAAAAGUUAUUGCUAACCUCAAAAUCUUUUUACGAGUUUUUAAGUUAUCAGAGGCAACAUGGGGAUAAAUUAGACAACUGUCCAAAGUAUCCCUAACGAAUUAUAGAGCGAAUCAUUCUAUUAUUUCAUGACGAAGUAUACCGCGAAGUUACAAUAGGGUGACGAACUACAAAUGGUCGUAUUGGCUGUAAUAGAAGAACAUAUGGGUCUAAGGUCUGCUAAGGUCUAGAAAAUGUUAACUUUUCACCCAAUUUUGCACAAAGACAAAUAUUUACCAAAGAAUACGAAACAAAUCUAGUGGAAUACCUAUUUGUUGCAAUGUAGCAUUUGAAUAUGCUCAAAAGAAUUCUUUGAAAAUGCCCGAGACAUUGGCUAUAAAUAAAAUGGCGGGUGAAUUGGUUUUCAGGGUUUAUGAAGAGAAACUCGUCAUUAUCCAUUAGAACUCCUGAGGCUACAAGUUUAGCUAGGAUGACUAGCUUCAAUCCAGAAAAUAUGAAAAUAUUUUUUGAUAAAUGAAAAGUUAUUUCCAGAUAUGGAUUUUCAUCAUGUGAAAUUUACAAUCUAGAUGAGAAAAAAGAAGAAACAUAAGAAUGGGAUUUCGAAGGAUUUCUUUUUAAGAGUGGUAGCGGUAACGACGACGACUACUAUCGGCCCCCGAUGCAGACCAAAGCCUCGAGAGCGCUCGGUCGUUCGUCUAAUUAAUUGCCGUUGAUUGGAUUGCACUAUUGGGCCCCCUUAAGUAUCUGGUUAACAGCGGCUUAUACGUGUAUCCGCCUCGACCGCAUCGACGAGGAACCGAAGAGAGUAACGAGUUCGGUUCAGCAGCAGUUUCUGCGACCGCUUUUGUACACCGCUUUCGUGCCGAUCGGCCUAAUUGGCUUUUAUGAUUUUUCGACUGGUCAAAAAACUUUUAACCACAACAACAUUAAUGACUUAUCAUUUCACACCAAUAAUCUACAUAUAUGUUAUAAAUUUUUUGACUAGAAUGUUUUUUAAUUAUUUUCUAUUAAAAUGUUAACUAACAUUUUUAUAUCAUUCCAAUAGAACUUAAAGAAACUAAAGAAACAAGAAAGAAUUGAA